rnacentral:rRNA from 1 species
GACGAACGCUGGCGGCGUGCCUAACACAUGCAAGUCGAGCGGGGAUAUUAGCAAUAGUAUCUUAGCGGCGGACGGGUGAGUAACGCGUGGGCAACCUGCCUUUUACCGGGGGGUAACACAGGGAAACUUGUGCUAAUACCGCGUAAUACCAGAGCAAGACAUCUUGGUCUGGUCAAAGGAGCAAUCCGGUGGAAGAUGGGCCCGCGUCCGAUUAGCUAGGUGGCGGGGUAACGGGCCACCAAGGCGACGAUCGGUAGCCGAACUGAGAGGUUGAUCGGCCACAUGGGGACUGAGCCACGGCCCAGACUCCUACGGGAGGCAGCAGAGGGGAAUAUUGCGCAAUGGGGGGAACCCUGACGCAGCAACGCCGCGUGAAGGAUGAAGGUUUUCGGAUCGUAAACUUCUUUGAUGGGGGACGAGUAAUGACGGUACCCCAAAAACAAGCCACGGCUAACUACGUGCCAGCAGCCGCCGUAACAC